GGGUGCAAUCAUACCAGUACUAAUGCACCUGAUCCCAUAAGAACUCCGUAGUUAAGCAGGCUUGGGUGAGAGUAGUACUAGGAUGGGUGACCUCUGGGAAUUUGAGACUAGAUAUCUUAGUAAAUUGAAGUGGGAAGUCCUCGUGUUGCACCCC
rnacentral:rRNA from 1 species